UACGUAGGGUGCAAGCGUUAAUCGGAAUUACUGGGCGUAAAGCGUGCGCAGGCGGUUUUGUAAGUCUGUCGUGAAAUCCCCGGGCUUAACCUGGGAAUGGCGAUGGAGACUGCAAGGCUAGAAUCUGGCAGAGGGGGGUAGAAUUCCACGUGUGAGCAGUGAAAUGCGUAGAGAUGUGGAGGAACACCGAUGGCGAAGGCAGCCCCCUGGGCUGAAGAUUGACGCUCAUGCACGAAAGCGUGGGGAGCAAACAGG
rnacentral:rRNA from 1 species